AAUCAGGCCUUUCCCAUCCAGAGUGGUGGACAACCAAACUUUUUAGUAGGAUUUGAAGUUUUGUUCACUAGGAUUACCCGAUGACUGCAACGCUAACAAUUAUUUAAAGACAAGUAAAAUCUGAUCAUUCUACCAUCCGAAGAUUAUUACACGGUUAGAAUUACUGAUAUUUUGAAUCCUGGUGUUUCUUGAUGAUUUCAUUUGAGAAUGCUGCCUUGAAAAACUGUUGCCUCUUGAGAAGAUUCAGGAGUCCUGUAGUAGAGAACAAGGAGGAUGAAGAUAAAUCCUAGAAGGAGGGAUUUCCAGUCUGGCUUGUUUGACAUACAACGUCCUCUAAAUUGAAAAAGGCAUCUUGUACAUGAACAGAUAUUUAUAUUGUCCUAGAAGUGUGAAGAUAAGCAGAUUUCAGCUUUUAACAUGAACACAUUUGUUGAGAGAGGAUAAUAGAUAUUCUACAGCUAGACAUCAAGAUUUCUGCAGAGACAUUUAAAUCCGGCUUACGGAGAAAGGCCUGGAGAGAACCCAAAAGGCUGGGCCACAGGAGAAGUCACCCUCUCUGCCUGUCCUGGAGCUUGUACCUGGCUCGUCUCCUGUCUUUGGACUCCUCCGACUUUACCAUCAGCUUUCAAGUGUUCACCUUGCCGGCUGAAGAUCUUAGGACCUUUCAGCCUCCGUGACCACGACACCCAAACAGGCUUGCCAAUGGAAUUCCUAGAAAAGCCUUGGCGUUUCCCACAUUGCAGGGAGGCAGAGCAAGACGGCGGAGGAGUAAGAGGUCGCGCUCACCGUCUCCCACAAACACAUCGAAAAAACACAUCUACGUGUAAAAGGACUUGCACAGAACAUCAACUGGAUGCUGGCAGAAGAGCUUAAACUUCCAAAAAGGGCAAGAAACUCUUACAUAACUGGGUAGAACAAAAGCAAAUAAGAGAGAGAAAGAAAAGGAAUCAAGAGGGGACUAGCAUUCCUGAGGGGGGGCAGUGAAGGAGAAAAGGAACCGUCAUCCUGGGAAGCCACCUAACUGGCAGAAAGAUCAGCCGAGUCGGAAGGACCUCAAAGUCGCCGAGAAAAGUGCAGCAGCUGCACUGAGGACAGCAAAGCAGAGGGAGAGCCACACAGAUCAUCUGCACCACCAGCCUGGACACCACAGCCUGAGACGCUCGGGUGGGGAUUGGGCACUGAGACGCAGGCUCCAGAGGUCAGUCCCAGGGAGAGGACUGGGGUUGGUGGUGUGGAGACAGCCUGAGGGGCUAAGGUGCGGUGCGCCACAGGCUGGAGAAGGGGACACCAUGGCAAAGGGAACCCGGGGGAAGGUCUGGACCCGUAGGAGAGGCAAGGCACCAAUGUUGGGGAGGGCGAGAGGAGGAGGGACAGACGCCAUAGGAAACUCCCUCUGCCCGAGUGUGCGGGCGCACCCAAGGGUGGGGCAGCUCUGGCGCAGGCCACUAGUGGCAAGAAGCCACUUGCUACUCUAUGGGGGACCCAGUGGCUCUGGCGCAUAUUGCAGGCAGUGAAAAGCCUCUUGCUUGUUUAUGGGAGGUUGGGCACUUCUUGUGCAGGCUACCAAUGGCCAGGCAUCUCCUAUGUGGGCUAAGGGCAUCAGGGGGCUAAGUGUGAUGCGGUGCCUACCAAGCACCAUAUGCUGUCACUUUCACUCCCCUGGGAACACACUCACCCUGCAGUUGCCACUGCCAAAUGCUCUGGGAAGUGCCCAGACACUUGGCCACUGUCCCUUCCCAAGAUGCUACAACUAGGAGAAGCUGGUGCAGCACCUCCUGCGUGGGCUAAGUGGGACAGGGUGCUUCUUGCAUGGUCUGCAGGUGGCAGGAGCAAACCACUACAGUUACUCCUGACUCCAGAGGUGGGCAUGGCCCACCGCCACUGGGGAUACCUGAACAAAAAUCACUUGCGUCCCCAACCACCUCAGAGGGCACCACAGAGAAGGACAUUGCAGCAGAACACCACCUGUUGUUGCUGUCGCUCCCCUGGGAGCACACCUGCCCUGCUACUGCCACUGUCAAACACUCUGGGCAAUGCCCAAACAGUUGAUCAUUGUCCCUUCCCAGGAACCUGCACCUAGGAGAAGCUUGUGCAACACUUCCUGAGGGGACUAAGCAGGAUGAGGUGCUUCUUGCAUGGUCUACAGGAGGUGGGUGCAAACCACUGCAGUUAUCUCUGGCUCCAGAGGUGGGAGUUGACCGCCACCACUAGGGGUCCGUGAACAGGUACCACUUGCAGCCCCAGUCACCUCAAGGGUACCACAGAGAAAGGGCAUUGUGACCAAACACCACCUGUUGGUGCUCCUGCACCCCUUGGAACACACCAGCUGUUGCCACUGCUGAAUGCUCCGGGCAGUACCCACACAACUGAUUUCUGUCACUUCCCAGAAUCCUGCAACUAGGAAAAGCCUGUGCAGCACCUCCUAUGUGGGCUAAGUAAGGUGGGUUAUUUCAUGCAUGGUCUACAGGUUGUGGAGGCAAACCACCGCAGCUAUCAAUGACUCCAGAGACAGGCAUGGCCCGCUACCACUAAGGGUCCCUGAACAAGUACCACAUGUGCUUCCAAUCAUCUCAGAGGAGGGCACUGCAAUUGAACACUAACUGUUGUUGCUCUCACUCCCCUGGGAACUCACUCACCCUGCUGCUGCUACUGCCAAAUGCUCUGGUCACCUUGUAGAUCUGCCUAGAGCUCAGUACUACUUCCCAGGGCCCUGCAACUAGGAGGAGCAUGUGCCACCUUCCUGCAGGUCCUUGCUGCUGUUGAGAACCCAGUGACCAGGCACUGUCUGCUGGCCCUACCCAUUGCCUCCUUCUCACUGAAAACACACUGAGCAUCCUGGGGAUAACAGCCUGCUCACGUUGAAUAAAGAGACAGCAAAUAUUCAAACUCCCACACCAAAAAUAAAGACUUAUCCCCCCCCCCCAAAAGAAUAUAAAGGGGUGCUCUGGCAUAGAAGUAGCCUUACAAGCAUACAGUUUGGCUUCCCCAAGCUUACAUAAAAAGAAAAACAUAAGCAAGAUGAAGAAGCUCAGAAACCAUUCCCAGUUAAAGGAAUAGAAGAAUUCACUUAAAGCAGUCAAUAAUGAAAGAGAUCUCUGCAGUCUGACAGACAUUGAGUUCAAAAGGGAGACAGUGAAAAUACUGAAGGAAUUAAGGCUGGGUAUCAAGGAAUUAAGAGAAGCUACAAACAGUAAUGCAGAUUCCCUUAGAAGAGAACUAGAAAAUAUAAGGAAGAGCCAAGAAAAAUUAGAAAAUUCAUUUGCAGAGAUGCAAACUCAGUUAAAGGCAAUAAAGAGCAGAAUGACUAAUGGAGAGGAACAAAUUAGUGACGUGGAAGAUAGAAUAAUGGAAAUCACCCAAUCAGGACAGCCGACAGAAAAUCAAAUGAAGAAACAUGAAAACAAUAUAAAAGAUCUAUGGGAUAAUAUAAAGUGGGCCAAUCUAUGCAUAAUAGGAAUUACAGAAGGAGAAGAAAAAGAAAAGGGGAUUUAAAAAAUAUAUUUGAGGAAAUUAUCUCUGAAAAUUUUCCAAAUCUAAAGGAAACUGAUAUCAAGACAUAGGAAAAACAGAGGGCCCCCCAAAGACAUAAUAAAAAUGGCAAAAGAUAAAGAGAGGAUCCUAAAGUCAACAAGAGAAAAGCAAAGCAUUAAUUAUAAGGGAACCCCCCCCCAUAAGGCUAUCAGCAGAUUUCUCUACAGAAACAUUACAGGCCAGAAGGAAGUGGCAAGAUAUAUUUAAAGUGCUGAAAGGAAGAAAUUUGCAACCUAGAAUACUCUAUCCAGCAAGAAUAUCAUUUAAAAUAGAAGGGGAAAUAAAGAAUUUCUCCAACAAACAAAAGAUAAAAGAGUACAGCAAUACUAAACCCAUUCUAAAGAUAUACUGAAAGGGCGUCUCUAAAUGAAAGAAGAAGAAGAAAUAGAAUGGAGGAAACCACAAUUGGAAAGCAAUCACUUAAAUAAGCCAGCAUACAGAUCUAAACAUGAAGAUGUUAAAAUAAAUAAAUAAUAAAAGACAUCAAAAUCAUACAAUGUGGGGAAGGAGAGUACGAAAAUAUAGAUUUUUUUUAUUUUAUUUUAAUGUUGUGUCUGAGUCCAUAUGACUAUUAGGCUAAAGCAGGCAGAUAUAAGAAGGGGUUAACAUACUUAAAAAACAGGGCAACCACAAAUCAAAACUGAGCAUUACAGUCACAAAAACCAAAAAGAAAAGUACUCAAGCAUAAAAUAAAUGGAAACCAUCCCACCAAAAAAAAAA
rnacentral:lncRNA from 1 species